AGUGCAGUGGCACAAUCUCGGCUCACUGCAACCUCUGCCUUCUUGGUUCAAGCGAUUCUCCUGCCUCGGCCUCCCGAGUAGCUGGGAUUACAGGCACCCACCACCACACCUGUCUAAUUUUUGUAUCUUUAGUAGAGACGGGGGUUUCACCAUGUUGGCCAGGCUGGUCUCGAACUCCUGACCUUGUGAUCCGCCCGCCUCGGCCUCCCAAAGUGCUGGAAUUACAGGCGUGAGCCACUGCGCCCGGCCACUUACAGACUUUUCUGAUGAGAUUGUGCAGGGUGACCUCGGAGGUCUGGCUUCCUGAUUCAGAACAUUUACCCCAGAGAGUAAUCAGGAAGAUGAAACGAGCUAAUGGACCCAAAGCACGAAGCUCCAUGCCAACAUGAGAUGUUUUGAUUAAGUAACUAAUAAAAAUAACAAAUGAAAUCCUGUCGCAUUAAGAGUUGGCCCUAGUAUGUUUACAGUAGGUGUUCCAUAAAUGUGGCUUCCUUCUUCUGCAUUCUCAGCAUCU
rnacentral:lncRNA from 1 species